rnacentral:rRNA from 1 species
UACGUAGGGACCGAGCGUUGUCCGGAAUCAUUGGGCGUAAAGAGCGUGUAGGCGGCCUUUUAAGUCCUGCGUGAAAUCCUGCGGCUCAACCGCAGACGGUCGUGGGAAACUGGAAGGCUAGAGUGCGGGAGAGGAGAGUGGAAUUCCCGGUGUAGUGGUGGAAUGCGUAGAUAUCGGGAGGAACACCAGUGGCGAAGGCGGUUGCCUGGGGCUUUGCUGACGCUGAUGCGCGAAAGCGUGGGGAGCGAUCCGG